rnacentral:tRNA from 1 species
AGCUUUGUGGCGCAGUCGGACUAGCGCGUUGGGCUCAUAUCACCUUUCCACUUCGAAGCGAUGUGGGUUACCCAAAGGUCGUCGGAUCGAGACCGACCGAAGCUA